UGGAAUCUUUUUAGAAGGUCUUGAAAUUUGCUGGACUGUAACUUAAAUCAGUCUAGUUAAAACAAAAUUGUUACUGAAAAUUCUUAACAAUUAAGUUUCUGUCUUUUAUGGGUUGCAUGCAUUAAUUCCCUUUAUGCCUUUGUAAAUAUGAAAUUCAAGUAUUUCGAAGGAAGUAGAUUAAGUUAUUUAGUACUGAUAAUGAUUUCCUUCUUGAGGCCAGACCAAUUUUAUUUCUUGUUUUACGGAUCCGCCGGUCAUAUUUUUUUCAAGAAUAAAAACAAAAAUAAAAGUGAAUUUUCUUGCUCAAAACAUAAAAUCCUAAUGUUUAUGUGAUAUAACUGAAUACCCUUGAAAUCAGUAUGAAACCUAAACUCACUCAACUUAUUUUUAGUUGAUAUAAACAAACCAAAAGAGUUAAUAUGGAUACUCAUGUAGGUUGUUGCUUUGACUGGUGAUUUUACUUUAUUUAUUUUCCCUCCUGCCUUUAGGUUUUCUGAGGACAAAAAUCUACAAACAAGAAAUAAAAUUGGUCUGGCCUUAUCUCUGAAAUUAGUUUCUGUCCACUGGACACCCCCAUACUGAUGUGUUAAUGCCAGUCGUCAAAGACAUGAAAAUAUUCAGUACUGCUACACAAGACAGGUGUCGCUGGCUGAUUACCAAUAUAUAGUGUCAAAAUUAAUGCACAUGGGUCAAAUGAAUUUAUUUUUUUCAAGCAGUGGUUUCAAAAUAAGUAUUUUCAAGACAUUUACCAACAUCCAAGGUCUUUUUCAUGGUUUGUAGCCAGUGGACCAUUUGUUGUCAGAUGUCAAUAGUAAUGUAUGAUGAACAUAGACAAUCGGUAAGUUUCAACCAGUACUUCUUGGUGCCAUUUGUCAUACCACAGUCAAUAUACCUGGAAUCUAUAGCAGAAUGUUGACAAGAUACUCUAUUAUAUGAGAAACACACUAUGAAUGUUUGUACCUUCAAUUGUUUUAUUGUUUGUUAUAGGAAUUAUAUGACAUCUGUGGUAAUAUGUAUUUCACCAUCGCUCAAUUACUUUCUUGUUGCUAGGUACUGCUAUUUAUAUUGUAAUCAUUAAUCCUCCAAAGCCAACACCUGCCAUCUCUUGGUCACUGUAAAUAUUAUUUUUAAUUUGGGUUAUGUUAUUGAUUAUACAUUUUGUUCUAAAACUGAGAAAAGGAACUCGCUGUUACAAAUGGCAUAAAAUGUAAUUAGUUCAUCCAUAAAACUCUUUCACAAUAAAUGUCACGAAAUUGUUCUGUUUUAACACGAACACGUCACCUUAUUGCAGCAAUUGCAAUAACCACUUUUCUGUGAUAUUUUUUAAUUACAAUAUUUUGAUAUAUACAUCCUAUAUCUUUAUAACACCCUGUUUCACAAGGAUUACAGAAGGUAUUUGAGAUUAAUACCUUCAUUAUUAUAUUGAAUUCAUCACAUUAGAUUAUUUCUGCUAGAUCAACCUAUCUGAUCAGUAAUUAGUUGGACAGACCUCGCAGCUUGUUCCAGUACAUUCAUUAAAAUAUAUUUAUUUCAUCAAAGAUGUAAAUUUCAAGAUAUUCUUAAUGCAUGAAACCAGUCAACUAGACAUUGCUGUUCUGUGUUAACAUCACAAAAUUCCCAACAAUGAGGCUUUGCGUUACCAUACUUGUUCAGUAGUUGAGACCUGUUUGUCCAUUUGUUGUUGGCUUGCUUUGGAUCUCUUGUGGCCAUGUAGAAUUCUGGUAGUACUGUGUGGCAACAUGUUUUAUCUGAUCAUGUCUUUCAUUUAAUUUACAAAUUUGAAAAUAAAUAUAUAUUUUAUACAA